rnacentral:RNase_P_RNA from 1 species
GCGGGCUAACGGCCUGGCGCAGCAAGCCGCGAGGCCCAAGGCGACGUAAAGUGGAACAGAAAGCACACCGCCCAAGCGGCGCUCGCCAGAGCGCCGACGGCAAGGGUGAAAAGGCGAGGUAAGAGCUCACCGCGCGCGUGGCGACACGCGUGGCACGCCAAACCCCAUCCGGAGCAACAUCGAAUAGGCACGCGCGCGAGCCUCGCGGCUCGCACAGGACGGCCCGUCCGAGCGUGCGGGUGGAUGGCUCGAGCGGCCGGGCAACCGGCCGCCCAGACGAAUGACCGUCGCGUCGGUUCGCCGGCGCACAGAAUCCGGCCUACAGACCCGCUCCCCUU